rnacentral:pre_miRNA from 1 species
AAUAAGUUUCUUUUUUAGUUUUUAUAUAAUAUUUGACUCUUCGUCUUAUUUAAAAUUUUUUACGAUUAAUAUUUUUAUGGUUAUUAAAUGAUAAAGAAGAAUAGUACUCUAGGCAUGACAUUUUUUAAAUUUUUUUAAAUAAGAUGGAUGGUUAAACACUGGACACAAAAAAAUAAAGCCACCUCCGUU